rnacentral:rRNA from 1 species
UACGUAGGGUGCAAGCGUUGUCCGGAAUUAUUGGGCGUAAAGAGCUCGUAGGCGGUUUGUCGCGUCGGCUGUGAAAGCCCGGAGCUCAACUCCGGGUCUGCAGUCGAUACGGGCAGACUUGAGUGUUGCAGGGGAGACUGGAAUUCCUGGUGUAGCGGUGAAAUGCGCAGAUAUCAGGAGGAACACCGGUGGCGAAGGCGGGUCUCUGGGCAACAACUGACGCUGAGGAGCGAAAGCAUGGGGAGCGAACAGGA